UUCAGAGCUGUGAUGAAAAUGGCCGGCGGAGCGAGGGUAUGAAUAAAGAAGAGCUGUUCUGUUUAAAAUACAUCCUCCAGCUUUACUUUAUCUGAUCCAUUUCAUAGUUUUUUUUUUUACAGCCGGAUUCCUGCACACAAUGACGCAGUCACUGCACAUUACGCCGAGACUCGCUGAAAGACCGCAUUUGCAGUACCUGCCUGUACUAUGACGUCCUAAGACCCACUAUGAGCCGGUAUGAAGGAGCUUCCAGUACAACCAACGGGACCUUGCCUCAGCAUUGAGGAGUUCAGGAGACGGCAGAGAAGAAAGAGGCUGAUUGAAGCGGGACAGAUGACAUGGAUCCAUCCUUCCACAGCCAGGAGCUCAACAACCUGUGUGCCACACUUCAAAUAAGACUAGAAGCUACACUGGAUCUCACAGCUACACACCACAGACGUCUACACACCACAGACGUCUACACACUGGGGCAGAUUCGGACAGAGUCCCACAAAGAACAUAUGACCCAGAGGCUGCAAAGAGACAUUUCAAGCUUCACCUGAUUAGCUUUUCACUGGCUAGGCCAGUUGUGUUUGUACAAUAUUUGUGCUGUAUGUAAAUAAAGCUUUGACUCAACAUA